GAACUCUAGCCCAGGGAACUCCCCUAGCCUUUCAGACCCUUCAGUCACCCCAGAUCUGGGCAGAAUCUGGGGCUGCAAAGGGGAGGAUUGGAACCAACUGUAGAUAAGCAUGUCUGCCCCCCCCCCAAAGGGAUUUGUUUAGUUUUACAAGCCAUACAUAUAACUGUAAAAAAAUACAAUGUGAAAAAAAAAUCUUCAGAAUAAAACAGUGUCUUCGCUACUGGAAAGAACAGCCCCAGCAAACUCCUUGGCCUCAAACCCCAAAUUCCAGAGGACUGAGGAUGAGUAGGGAAGUGGGCAGGAACCAUGCUGCGGGGUAGGGGGCAACUGCCAGCAAUGCUUUUAAACUCUGCACAAUAAGAGUGUGUUCUUCCACUAGCAUGGUGGGGGAGGUGGGAAACUAAAGACUGCUCCCUGAUACAUUCAUUUGGGUGCAGAAAAAUAAGCAGUCACUAGGCAGAGACAGCAGCUGUGUUACAGGACUUGCUCAGGUGUCUGUGUGAUACAUGCCCAAGAGGAAGAAGGGGGUCACACACACAGGUGUUCAGAGAUACAGAGCAUUCCUACCCCACUGGAAACACUUCCAGACACAGUGAGGAAGCAAAUGGAUGGCAUCUCCAUGCUGAGAUGGGAAUGACAGAACUUGGCAUUCAGAAGCCCCAGGUGUCUAUCACUGUUUUGUUUUUAUGAGGUCUGGGUCAAGAGGUUUCAGAGAAGCAAACUGGCUUUUUAAAAGAUAUUUGGCAAAUGCAAUUUAAGUGAAUUAAUUCUUCCUGUCUUAACAACCAGAAUGGCUUGCCACUAUUCAGUGAUGGUGGUGCUGUGAUGGUAAUGGUGGUAAU
rnacentral:lncRNA from 1 species